AGAGAAUUAGAGAGAUAGAGAUAAAUAUACAUUAUACAUAGAUACAUGUAUAGAGAGAGAGAGAGAGAGAGAGAGAGAGAGAGAGAAUGUGCAUGGGUUCGUGGUCAUUUCUGGAACCCAGCUGGUAGGUUUAAAGGUUCUCUUCCCUGUAGCUUUUGUCUUUUUACGUGGGCUUCCCACUCUCUCUUUUACCCUUCUUAUAAUCCCCCCAAAACAAAUCAUUCUCUUCAUCGUCACCAUCUCUCUCUUCUCUCCCCCUUGAAGAAAGGCGAGACUCUUGGGGGACUUGCAGAUGACAGAGAUAGAGAGAGAGAGAAGCAUGAAUGGGAGCUGAAGAAAGAUGAUCAAGAAAAGGGGUUGUCUCUUUUGAGGGGAAUGUUGUCUGGCUCGAGGACCCUUUCUUGAUCAGUAUCUAUUGUAGAUCUGAGGUAUUCAUAGAUCUGUAUACAUUUAUACAAGAGAAAGAGAUAGUGUUGUCGGACCAGGCUUCAUUCCCCCCAAUUAUUGCUUCCACCUUGAUUUCCAGAUGAUCUUGCCCUUGAUCUGAAGUUUUGGGGGAAAAUUGGCAGUUUCGGAAGAUGGGUUAUUGUUUUCAAGAGCUAUAUUGGUGUUUAGUUAUGUUGCAGAUUGGUGUAAUGAUGAGUAUCUUGACUCUAUAUUUUGCAUCUUUUCUCAGAAAGUUGUUCAUCAUUACACUCUUUUUGUGUUCUCUGGGCGAUUCUCUCAACCAUGUUAUGAUGGUGUUUCUUGUGUCAGCCAAGCACUUUUCUGGGUCAUCAUUUUUCAGAUUUUCCUCAUCAUCAACUCCACAACCUAAAUCUGUUUUUUAUGCUUCUUUUAUUAUCAGAUCUGGCUCUUUUAACUUCGGUAGAACUCUCUCUCCUUUUUCUCUUCUUUGAUGCCUCUUCUGAGGGUUUCCUGGGUAGAUUUAGCACUAUGAACAAUCAAAGAAGCCUUUCUCUUAAAUUAAUUAAAAUUUCUAUUUUCAAUUCGCAUAUCAUCUCUGAUUUACUCAGAUUUUGAUUUCUUUCACUGACUUUUCACUCACUAUACUAUGAUCCUUUAGCCAUCUCUAUAAUCCUUGUUUGUUAUUGUAGUUUUUCUUCUUCCCAACCCACCAAGUUGUGUUUUUUAUAUGUUUCAAUCAUCUUUUUUUUUUUACAGAUCCUAUCAGAUUGUGUCUACUUGUAUAUUUAUUUAUUUGUAGUGGCUGAACAGAUGGAGUUGCAUCAAAAGCUUUGAACUUACCAGAUAACAUAGUGCCCGACGUUACUGAUCCAAUCCAUUCUAUUACUGCCAUUUGUUUCUUAUAAUGGCUGUCUUUUAUUCAAUUCAAAACUUAUUUCUUUUAUUUUCUUACAUGUUUUAUGCAUAUUGAGUGAUAUUAAUAUAUUUGAUAACAAGACAAAAGCUACUUCUGGUCUGAGGCAACCCACUUGCCUUGGCUUGGUUAUUACUUAUUAUUGCACUCAACUGAAACUUAAGUUUAUUUUUGUGUCCUGUCUUUUCUUUUACUUUAGUUUCACGAUUUUAGCCAUUAAAUUAGUUGAUUUUCAGGAUUAACAAGUUUCUCUUUUGGUCUCUUCUAAAUUUUUGCUCAAUGUUAACUGGUUAUUUCAUGUAGAUUCAAUUAUAUUAGUAAUUCUUCAAUGGAUAUCGGCCAAUAUUUAUUAUCAGUUCACCCGCAUCAGAUUUUAGACUUUUAAUACCAACAUAUCAAUCGAUAUAGGAUUGUAUUACAAAUAUUUGUAAAUUGUAAGUAUCCUAGUACGACUCUAUGGCUCAAUGUUGCAAUGUAUCUUGGGGUUUAAAUAAUUAGGUGCAAUAUGGAGGUAAAUCUGAUUCUCUUGAUGUACUUUGCAGAAGCAUAGCUAGUUCUGUGACAAGUUUCUUUUGUGUUCUUCAUUUUACUUUGUUUGUUGUGAUUAUUGUUAAUCAAAACUUUUUACGUUGUGCUUUGAAUCAUUGACAAAAGGUAAAAUGGGUUUUAAUUUGACAUUUUGAUUGUUUGUGUUCCUAUCAUUCUUGUCCUUUACUUCGCUUUUGGAUCAAAGCUUAGGAAGAGUAAAUGAAUACGAUUGAAAGUAGGUAAAAGAAAACCUAUAUCUAGGCCUUUGGGACCUAAACAACACGUGUGAUGACUCUCUCUUUUCUCAUAUAGGCCUUUAAUCAGCCGGUGAUUGUUUCUCUUUUUUUUCUCUCACAUACAUUUAGGCCCUAUUUAGUUGAAAUUUUUGUUUCUUUGUUUUCAAAUUUAUGUUUUUGAAAACGAAAACAAUGAGAACCUGAGAAAUACCUACUGUUCUUAUUUUGGACAAAUGAAGUCACUUUCUUUUUAAAAAAAAAAUGAAAAAAAUAUAAUAAAUUUCACAAUUUUAAUAUAAUUAUAUUGUUUUUAUCUUUAAGGUUUUAAUUUUUAUAACACUUACUCUCAUUGAAAAAAUGAUUGUUAUUUAUUUUAUAGUAAAAUAAAUAUUUAUUUAUUUAUUUAUUUUUAUAUUUUCACACAAUUUGCUUAGUGUAAGUAAUUAUACCAAAAUUUUGUGUCUUGUUGUAAUUUUUUUAAAUGUCAAGAGAGAUUAGCGUAAUUUACUCGUUCAUUUUUGUACAAAAGCAAUUUUUUGGAAUUCCUAAAAAGUGGUUUAUUUUCCAAAAUUUUCAACCAAAAAAAAAAAAAAAAACAAAUCCCCCAACACGUUUAAUGCGUUCAUAAAACAUAUAUAUAAUAAAAAAAUCAAAACACAAGCACAGUUGAGCUAUGUUCCCUGCCCAAUAAAAAAAGAUGACCAAGAAGGUGAUUAGUCAACAAUUAUCUUUUGGACAUAAAAAAAUAUGACAAAAUUUUUAAAGAAUACAAUACAUUUUUUUUAUUAAUUUUAAAGUGCUUUAAUGGAUUUUAAUUGUGUCAUAAUUUUCAAAAUACUUUUUAUAUAAACGGACAAAAUUCACUUUAACUCCUAGGGUUUUGCUCCAAAACAUUUUACUCCUUUGUCAUUUAAAAAUAGCCAAUAAACCUCCUUAUACUUCUGAUCAUUUUAUACUUUGCCUCCUUGUCAUUGUUGUUAGUUCCGUCCAAAAUAACGGCGAGUGUUCUACAUUUGCCAAAAUUAAAAAUUAGCAAUAAAAAUUAAAGUCAAAAUCAAUGUUAAAAGACAAGCAUACCCUUCACUAAAUCCUAGAGAAAGAGAGAGCAAUUUCUCAUCCAGAUUUCAUUGAUGUCAACAAAAUAGUAGUUAUUGAAUGAUCAAAGCACAUUUCAUGUCAUCAUUCAAUAGCAAAUCACAUUUUCGGAAAGCUUAUCUCAUUUUACACAGUUCAGAGUUUCAGAGCAUAGCUUAGUGUCUCAAAGUACUUGUUCGAAAAUCUUGAAUCGUAUUUCUUUUCUUAUAUAAAGUGUAGGUUUUAUAAUUUAUUGCAUAGUAAAACUACUUUCAAAGUAAUUUAUACUAAAAUACCGUUACAAAGACAUUACUCACCUUGAGUAGGUUUUGUCCUUCCACAAUGUUCAAACGUAUGCAUUACACAUGGGUACACACAUUGGAACACAUAGUUUGAAUCAUAUAAUUCAUCUUCUCUUUCUAAUUAAAUCAUUCAUGUCGGUUUGAAUCAUGCAAUUCAUGCUUAGAAAUGCUCCAGAGAAGAUGAGAACGAAGACAUGAACACAUAAAGACUUAUCAAAAUAUGCAAAAACAGGGGUCUUCGCUCGAGCCAGCUACUGGUCGCUCGAGCAGUCACAGAGGUCUGCGAAAGUACUAGAAGCUCAUCAAGUUCACUCGAGUGCACACUUAGUUGCUCGUGCGGUGUCCAAAUAUUAUGGGUUUUCCAGAUUGGGUUUUCCAGAUUGCUCUUGAAGUUCAAAAGUGCAUCUUUUAUGUUCAAAGCUUGCAUGGCUUACUAAAAACAUGUAGAAACCUUCCAUAGUACAUAAAUUCGUGAAAAUUAUAAAACCACAUACUCAAAUCCCUUUCAAUUUUCCAAAACAAUGUUCAAAACUCCAUGUUCUUGACUUCCAUGUAAUGAAUUACCUUUAUUUCUUUUCAA